AUACGGAGGGUGCGAGCGUUAAUCGGAAUUACUGGGCGUAAAGCGUACGUAGGCGGUUGGUUAAGUUAGAUGUGAAAGCCCCGGGCUUAACCUGGGAACUGCAUUUAAAACAGGCGAACUAGAGUUGAGUAGAGGGGAGUGGAAUUUCAGGUGUAGCGGUGAAAUGCGUAGAGAUCUGAAGGAACACCAGUGGCGAAGGCGACUCCCUGGACUCGAACUGACGCUGAGGUACGAAAGCGUGGGUAGCAAACGGGAUUAGAAACCCUAGUAGUCC
rnacentral:rRNA from 1 species